UGUUUUCUGGCAUCUCUCUCUUUUUUCCGAAACUUUAUGUCUCUUUUUGCCUGGGGCUUCAGAAUAGCUGCCUUCUUGAUCCUGGGUCUCAAAUUCAGGGAAUGCCUGAAAGAUGAGCUGAUCCCUGUCAUUGUGGAGGGUUUCCUCAUUGAAAGGAAACGCCAAAAUCUCACCAAUCUCAUGUUUCAGUAAAUGCUGCUCUUCAUCUUGACUGAUGCAGAGUUGCUUCUCUUCCUCUUUGAUCUGUAUAUGUCUUACUUCCUCUUGUCCCUGGUAUAUUUGCAAAGGUUCUGGCUCUUCUUGGUCUAAAGUGAAGUUCCCCUCCUGAUGGCUGAGCUCAGAAAAAAGUCCUUCCUCUUUAAACAGACGAUUUUCUGGGAGAUCUGGAAGAAAGAAAACAAAAGUGCAUAGAGACUCUUCACUGCCUGCUGGAGCACAUCCUGUGUUGCCGCCAUUUGGAUGGGUCUCUAUUCUCUAAGAUCUUCAGAUAGACCUCUUUCCAAAUCAAGGCCAUUUAUUAGACCAACGUGCAAGGAGAGAUUUCCCUCACAGUGAACCUCCACGGUCCCAAAGCUUUCACUUACUUGAGGGAAUCGCAGCAUCUUCCUCUCCAGCAUCCACAUAAGAAGCUGUGAAAAACAAUAUAUUUGAAGUGUUUUAUUCCUGGUAAUACUGGGCAUUUUAAAGAAUUAUCUUCCCAGGACUAAAUCUGUGCAUGCAUAACAAAUAUGAAGGACUGAUGAGAAUGUUGAAAAUCAGAAUUUAACAUUAUUUUUUCACCUGUACUGUGUGCGACACAUUCAAAGGUACACUAGCUCAUAUGUUUUGGUUUGUGUAAAAAAGAGUUAAAGCCGUUUGCCACAUUUCUAUAACUUGCCUUUUUGUUGUCGGAAGGCAGUAGUCCAAAUUUUACAAGAAUCCUCCAAGUGUUUCCAAGGCUGAACUCUUAACUC